rnacentral:rRNA from 1 species
ACGAAGGGGGCGAGCGUUGUUCGGAGUUACUGGGCGUAAAGGGCGCGUAGGCGGCGCUCCAAGUUAGGCGUGAAAGCCCCGGGCUCAACCUGGGAAUUGCGCUUAAGACUGGAGUGCUCGAGUGCGGGAGAGGUGAGUGGAAUUCCCAGUGUAGAGGUGAAAUUCGUAGAUAUUGGGAAGAACACCAGUGGCGAAGGCGGCUCACUGGCCCGCAACUGACGCUGAGGCGCGAAAGCGUGGGGAGCAAACAGGAUUAGAUACCCUGGUAGUCCACGCUGUAAACGAUGAGUGCUAGACGUUGGGAGACUCAGUCUCUUGGUGUCGCAGCUAACGCAUGAAGCACUCCGCCUGGGGAGUACGGCCGCAAGGUUA